GAGUUUGAUCAUGGCUCAGGACGAACGCUGGCGGCGUGCCUAAUACAUGCAAGUAGAACGCUGAAGAGAGGAGCUUGCUCUUCUUGGAUGAGUUGCGAACGGGUGAGUAACGCGUAGGUAACCUGCCUUGUAGCGGGGGAUAACUAUUGGAAACGAUAGCUAAUACCGCAUAACAGAUAGGUGACACAUGUCAUUUAUUUGAAAGGGGCAAUUGCUCCACUACAAGAUGGACCUGCGUUGUAUUAGCUAGUAGGUGAGGUAACGGCUCACCUAGGCGACGAUACAUAGCCGACCUGAGAGGGUGAUCGGCCACACUGGGACUGAGACACGGCCCAGACUCCUACGGGAGGCAGCAGUAGGGAAUCUUCGGCAAUGGGGGCAACCCUGACCGAGCAACGCCGCGUGAGUGAAGAAGGUUUUCGGAUCGUAAAGCUCUGUUGUAAGUCAAGAACGAGUGUGAGAGUGGAAAGUUCACACUGUGACGGUAGCUUACCAGAAAGGGACGGCUAACUACGUGCCAGCAGCCGCGGUAAUACGUAGGUCCCGAGCGUUGUCCGGAUUUAUUGGGCGUAAAGCGAGCGCAGGCGGUUUGAUAAGUCUGAAGUUAAAGGCUGUGGCUCAACCAUAGUUCGCUUUGGAAACUGUCAAACUUGAGUGCAGAAGGGGAGAGUGGAAUUCCAUGUGUAGCGGUGAAAUGCGUAGAUAUAUGGAGGAACACCGGUGGCGAAAGCGGCUCUCUGGUCUGUAACUGACGCUGAGGCUCGAAAGCGUGGGGAGCGAACAGGAUGAGAUACCCGGGUAGUCCACGCCGUAAACGAUGAGUGCUAGGUGUUGGAUCCUGUCCGGGAUUCAGUGCUGCAGCUAACGCAUGAAGCACUCCGCGUGGGGAGUACGACCGCAGGGUUGAAACUCAAAGGAAUUGACGGGGGCCCGCACAAGCGGUGGAGCAAGUGGUUUAAUUCGAAGCAACGCGAAGAACCUUACCAGGUCUUGACAUCCCGAUGCUAUUUCUAGAGAUAGAAAGUUACUUCGGUACAUCGGUGACAGGUGGUGCAUGGUUGUCGUCAGCUCGUGUCGUGAGAUGUUGGGUUAAGUCCCGCAAUGAGCGCAACCCGUAUUGUUAGUUGCCAUCAUUCAGUUGGGCACUCUAGCGAGACUGCCGGUAAUAAACCGGAGGAAGGUGGGGAUGACGUCAAGUCAUCAUGCCCCUUAUGACCUGGGCUACACACGUGCUACAAUGGUUGGUACAACGAGUUGCGAGUCGGUGACGGCAAGCUAAUCUGUUAAAGCCAAUAUCAGUUCGGAUUGUAGGCUGCAACUCGCAUACAUGAAGUCGGAAUCGGUAGUAAUCGCGGAUCAGCACGCCGCGGUGAAUAGGUUCCCGGGCCUUGCACACACCGC
rnacentral:rRNA from 1 species